rnacentral:lncRNA from 1 species
AUCUCUUCCUGGAGAUUGCUCCUUGUGGAGUUUUUACGAGCCUACAACACCGCAGGUGGAAUAUGGCUGCUUGAGAAACCUGAUGCCAAUGAAUGUAUAAGGCAAGAAGCUGCUCCCAGUAUUGUCUCUCUGUGACAGCGGGUGCUGAAGAUUCCUGAGCUGUGUAACAGGGACGUCUCCCAGAGAUGAAAACUGGUCUUGGACAGCACUGAAACUUCAAUCAGACCCACAGAGUCCUGGGAGAUCCCAAGCAUUAUCAGAACAAAGGAAAAUAGUUGUGUUUUGAAAGUAUUUUGAAAGGCCAGCUUUCCUUUCAGGGCUCCUCAUUUUCCAGUGGAUUUUUCUUUGUAACUUUUCCUUACGAUUAAGAAUGGUACUUUUCUGCAAAAUACUUUCUUGUCAUUUAAGACAGCCUUUUGUUUUCCUUUAGGGAAAAGUGAUCAUCACCCAAAGUGUUGCAUUUGGUUUAGUUUUGAUACCUAGAUCUGGUCAGUCAGGAACUUUCGUACCAUGCUGCAGGUACCUUGUGGGCAAAGAGAGCAGCAAGCAGGCAGAACCAUCACAGACUGCAUGAGACCACCUCAAAUUCCUUGUGGACUCCAGGGUAUUAUUAGGCUCUCUUUAUCUCCAUAGCUGACUAGGUCACUUAAAGGAUAUAUUCCAUCUCUUAUCCCCUUCAGUGUAACGACUGUAUUCAUAGAAUCAUCCCAAGUGGGGAUAGGGACCCGUAAGAGUUGCUGGUCCAACUCCUUGCUCCAUACAGGACUCCCUCACAGUCAGACCGUACUGUCUCAGUGAAUCAUGUUAUGAGUCUGAUGUCCACGCAGGACCCUGAUUUGUUUCUCAUGAGUCCUUAGGACAGACAGGUGUGCUGGUAAUUUCAUAGAAGUUUGCUGUAAUUUAACCCUGAUAUUGUUAGUGGAAUUCUCAGAGAAAAGAGAAAUGAAGGUGACCAAAAAGAAAAGCUAGUUUGUGUAAAAUGUUUGCAGUGAAAAGCCUUGAUCUUGCUCACGCAGAUGGAGAGAUACUAACUUAAUUUGUGUUAAACAAUUGAACUGAGAGUAGGAACUAAUAUGAAUAUUUAUAGUUGCUCGUUGUCUAGCUCACCCUAAAUUUAACCUCUCUGCUCAUCUUUUCCUUAAAGAUGGCUUCUCCCCCCAUUUUUUUGGUUAACAAGUUGUUUGAGAAACACACAGCUUACGGAAAGUAAUGGCUCUUUCAUCAUUGUGCAGUUCUGAUCUCUACUGCCCGCAGAGAUCUCAGGUUUGCUUUGUAUUGAUUUUUGCAUCUGAAGUGCAGUUUAGUAGUACAAAAAUGAAUGGAGAAGCUGCUCACACUCAAGGAGACUUUAGGCAUUGAGCCUGGGGAGCUUUUAAGAGGGAAAAAACACUGGGCAUUCUCCCUCAGAACAUCUUUCAGUAGGAUUGCAUGUCAAAAUACAUUGCAUCCAGAUGUCAUGCUCCAUCCCAGAGAGGUUAGGCAGUAGUAAGAAGUGUGACAGAGAUAGUUCAGUAUGUCUCCUUCCAGGUCUCUUUGGUAUUACCACCACUAACUGACCGCCUUUCAGACUCCUCUCUCUAGGGCUUGUGUUUGUCUGAGCCUGCCCUAACUUAUGGCCUACUGCAAAUGAUCCCUUUUCACAUCCAGACCCAAAAGCUUGUGCCAGCUUAUUCUACUUGGGAAUAUGCCAUUUGGUAUGGAAAUGCAGCAGUUCUCCAAAAUACCUUACUCAGAUUUUUCCCAGAAACCUGGCAAUGUCAAAUAAUCUGUAUUUGCUCAUGCAAGGUCAUUGUUUCAUGGCUGAUUAACAUUCUCUUGGCCUCAAAUGUAAGGGAAAGAAACAAAUAAGCACCCAAAACCUUAUGUUAACUCAAGAUGUUAGCUUCAGUUAAGUCUUGUCACUUUUUUAAUGUAAUGUGGAUCAGUUGUGGUCAACUAAAUCUACUGAAAUGAAGUGAAUAUAUUCAGUCAAUAAAACAGAAUGUGAAAACCUAGCUAUCUCUGCAGUUGGGUGGAGGCAAGGCAGUGGAUGGCUGACUGUUAGAUCUUUCUACUGGUGAGCUGCAGCGUAUUUGUGAUUACAAGGCCACCCUCCUCUUCUUUUUGCAGAUUUGUUUGACUAUUGUGUUUGAGAGGGCUGUGCCACACCUUUAGAGUAAGUCCCUU